rnacentral:rRNA from 1 species
UACGUAGGGGGCAAGCGUUAUCCGGAUUUACUGGGUGUAAAGGGAGCGUAGACGGUAAUGCAAGUCUGGAGUGAAAUGCAGGGGCUCAACCCCUGAACUGCUUUGGAAACUGUAUGACUGGAGUGCAGGAGAGGUAAGUGGAAUUCCUAGUGUAGCGGUGAAAUGCGUAGAUAUUAGGAGGAACACCAGUGGCGAAGGCGGCUUACUGGACUGUAACUGACGUUGAGGCUCGAAAGCGUGGGGAGCAAACA